rnacentral:rRNA from 1 species
UAUUGGUCAAUGGCCGAGAGGCUGAACCAGCCAAGUCGCGUGAGGGAUGAAGGUUCUAUGGAUCGUAAACCUCUUUUAUAAGGGAAUAAAGUGCGGGACGUGUCCCGUUUUGUAUGUACCUUAUGAAUAAGGAUCGGCUAACUCCGUGCCAGCAGCCGCGGUAAUACGGAGGAUCCGAGCGUUAUCCGGAUUUAUUGGGUUUAAAGGGUGCGUAGGCGGCCUUUUAAGUCAGCGGUGAAAGUCUGUGGCUCAACCAUAGAAUUGCCGUUGAAACUGGGGGGCUUGAGUAUGUUUGAGGCAGGCGGAAUGCGUGGUGUAGCGGUGAAAUGCAUAGAUAUCACGCAGAACCCCGAUUGCGAAGGCAGCCUGCCAAGCCAUUACUGACGCUGAUGCACGAAAGCGUGGGGAUCAAACAGGAUUAGAUACCCUGGUAGUCCACGCAGUAAACGAUGAUCACUAGCUGUUUGCGAUACAGUGUAAGCGGCACAGCGAAAGCGUUAAGUGAUCCACCUGGGGAGUACGCCGGCAACGGUGAAACUCAAAGGAAUUGACGGGGGCCCGCACAAGCGGAGGAACAUGUGGUUUAAUUCGAUGAUACGCGAGGAACCUUACCCGGGUUUGAACGCAUUCGGACCGAGGUGGAAACACCUUUUCUAGCAAUAGCCGUUUGCGAGGUGCUGCAUGGUUGUCGUCAGCUCGUGCCGUGAGGUGUCGGCUUAAGUGCCAUAACGAGCGCAACCCUUGCCACUAGUUACUAACAGGUAAAGCUGAGGACUCUGGUGGGACUGCCAGCGUAAGCUGCGAGGAAGGCGGGGAUGACGUCAAAUCAGCACGGCCCUUACAUCCGGGGCGACACACGUGUUACAAUGGCGUGGACAAAGGGAAGCCACCUGGCGACAGGGAGCGAAUCCCCAAACCACGUCUCAGUUCGGAUCGGAGUCUGCAACCCGACUCCGUGAAGCUGGAUUCGCUAGUAAUCGCGCAUCAGCCA